UAUAUUUUAAUGUCUCUUUAAUCUUUAGCAUCUAUCUUUUAGAUAUAUUUAGUAUUUUUUAUAUAUAUAAUUUAAUGUCUAAAAAGAUACAACAUAUAUGUAAAAUUUUCGCGAGAUAAAUCCAAUGAUGUAAAACAAGAUUAUCAAAAGUUAUUCAAACUUAAAAAAGUAUAAUACUUAUUAUUUCAAAGUCUAUUUUCUUAAAAAGAAGUCUUAACAAAUGAUAUUAUACAUUUUUCAUUUGUGUGUGUGUGUGUGUGUGUGUAAAGAGAGAGAGAGAGAAUCAUUACCUUCUCAGUUGUACACCAUUAGUUAUAGGACACCCAAGAUUAAGAAACAUGGAUUACAUGUCAAUCGAAAUCUCUCGGUUUCGCUGGAAAUAUCCGACUUUGAUCGAAUGAUACGCGCACGAAGAGACAAAACGCGAAUAUUUUGCGUAGCACAAUUUACUCUUACGCGUUCCUAAUGGAUGGUUCAUAAUAGCGGAAUUGAUGACAAAUAAUCGAAUGGUUAUCGUUUAAUGAUAUUCAGUUGUCUACAAAUUCGCGUAAUAAUUAUGCGUACGCAAAGCGAUGGAAACCGAACGCGAUGCGGCCCCUCAGCCUAAUUUCGAUAAUUGAAUUAACAGCGCGGAGCAUUGAUAUACAGACAAUCUGCACUUCAGCGCGUUACAUCUGAUAUGAAUGAAAUUCGUCAGAGUGUGCGCGAGGGCAUGAUUCCGAUAAUUUUGGCGACAUGAUUUAAUAAAUAUUUUUAGCUAUUCGAUUACCUAUAAAAUACAAUAUGAAAUGUCCUAGAAUGCGAUAGCUUUUCGUUUUUCAAGUAUAAGCAUUAUUAUAUAUAUUUUAUUAUAUAUUUUUAUUGAUGACUUAGAAACAGUCGCAGGAAUUUUUCGUUUUCAUCAUCGUUCACAAUAUUCAAAUUUCAGAAAACAUUCUCAUAUCGUUUUGUCAAAGUUAUCAAAAUUGCUCUGAAUGAGAUAAAAAAAAAAACGUGGAAUUAUAUCUGGUGUAAGCGCGAAGCAGACCAUCUUCGUCGGGAUUGCUUUCAUCGGCUAACGUCGACGACCGAUUGACGAUGCGGACUACUUCUCUCGUAUGUAAAUAUGUACUUAAAAAGAAGGCUGUUUAGUUGUUUAGUUGGUCUGGACAAUACACGACGAUCACGACGUUAUCGCGUUUACCAUUGUAUCACGAUUCAUUUUGUACGAUACGCCUGUACAUGUUUGCCUGCGCGUGUGUGUACAACCUUGACUAACUGCACCGUGACGGUGAACGCGAUGUUAGAGUCAAGGUAAGUAGCGUCGGAAUUUAGUGUGUCACAUUUAGACAUCAUAAACGAGCUCGACCGAGCACGUCGCGACGUCGCAAAUACAUUACAUAAGACGCCCGCUGGUAGUUCGUUAAAUCGAGCCAUAAUGCUUGAACGUGUUGCUACCAACAUCGCGCGCGCAUACUCCACCAUGUCAUCUUAAUACAUGCAACUUAUUGUCAUUGUAACGUUACUGCCUAGUCAAUGUGAAGAAGAAUUCCUUGUUCUCUAAGCCAACGGCUGUGCAUACGCCGCGAAUUUAUAUGCGUGUGCGUGAAGGACAUCUUUCCUCGAUCUAGAAAACCUUUCGAAGACGUUGAAAUCGUCAAGGUAAAAGAAAAAAAAUUUUCGAACCUUUAUUAUAAUUAUCGUUUACACAUUUUGUACUUUACAGUCUUUGUCAGGUGUGAUACGUGAAAUAGCGAAAAUAUUGAGAAAAAAAAUGAAUCUCAGAGAGAUAGAGAGAAAGAGAGAGAGAGAGAGAGAGAGAGAGAGAGAGAGAGAGAGUCUCUGUGAGUGUCUCUCAGAGUGUGCCUGUGCUAAUUACGUUCGUAAAUCUCACGCGAGACCGCCGCGAAGAUGGCCACGCGCCAAAUCGGAUAGUUUUAACGUAAUCUUAAAAUAUUCCGCGUCCCUCCGCCCGUCCCGCGAGGGUGCACGAGGGUACAUACGUUAUGUACGAACAGAAUCGAGCGCGCGUGAUGACUUUUCCGAUAUUCGAUUUGCCGCUCGACCCGCGAACAUUCUCAUUAACCUUUCAAGUCGAACGCGAACGGGAGUGAAUUGUUCUUUUUUUAAUGAUCCCACACGCGGCGGCGUUGUCGCGCGAUAAUUACGACAUAUUACGCUUUUUCCGCUUUUUUUUCUCUCUUUCUGUCUUCUUCCUAACAUCCCCGUGCGCAUCUGUCCGCGGAGAUCACACGCGGACGAAUCGCAUAUCCUGCUCGGGAUGCGUCCAAAAGUCCUCUACGAACGCGUGCAACGCUUCUGCAAUACUCGAGGACUCGCUUCCUCCAAGCGACCACUUCCGAUACAAUCGUUACCGUUUCGAAUAUCGAGCCGACAAACUUUUCUGUUGGCAUUUACGUCUGCGUGAAAUGUCUUCGAGGCAUCCUCGCGAUCGAAGAGCGAAAGUUGUAUAUCAGCUACCGAAAUUGAUGCAGCCCGAGUUACGGCGAAGAAAUAUUUCAAAUUUUACAUUCUUGAAAGAUACUAACAUAAUAUUAAGCUGCUAAAUUAAGUAACUUGAGACACUAAAUUAACGAACGGUUAUUUUUUCUGGGACAAUAAAAUUUAUAAUACUGUUUGUCGUAACUCGAAGGAUCACUCCUGGCGCUUAGUUGAGACUUGACUUUCGCGUUUCGAUUCCGCGAAUCCAAACAAAAGAUAUAUGUGGAUCGCCUUAUAGAGAGAGGAAUCAAUCGAUAAUUCUGAGUUGUCGAAUAAAUUGACAAUGAAAAGUACCGCAAAUAUCGAGAGAGAGAGAGAGAGAGAGAGACUGAUUCCUUACUUUAUAAUGCGCGCCACAUCUUCGCGCAACACAAUAUUCCGAUAUGCUAUCGUUGAAGGUAUCAACAAUCACGUGCGACUAGAGUAAUUUAUUCUAAAACUUCAUACAUACACACCCAUUUACACACACACAAACAUACAUACAUACAUGCAUUGUAAAUAUGUCAAUAUCAGAAACAAGAUCUUCCGGCCAGGAUGCCGCGUCCAAGCGUGAUCGAUUCGGUCCGAACGAGAAUAGCUUCGUCUGUAUUUAGCGAUCUCUCUCGCGAAAAGAAGACGGAAUCUCGAAGUUAUAGCUGUGAAUAUGUAAGUAAGCGGAAAAAACGUGGCGUACGUGAAAGCGCGGUUUGUCUCGCAUCGGGGGAAACCGAUCGGAAGUGUCGGAGUGGCGAGGAAACUUUAAGGCUCUCUCUUUCCCAAAUCGGCCUUCGGUGGUACAUAAAAGACAGAAGACAGAGGGAGAGAGAGAGAGGGAGAAAAGAAAAUCACAGAAGCUCGUAGUAGAGAAGAGAAAGUAUGAAAAGGGGGAUAAAAGGAAGUCGAAUCAAAGCGAACCCAUUCACUGAUGUGAGGAGAAGCGUGUACGAAUGGAACUGUUCGUGCGAAAGUUUCGAAAAAAAAAAACUUUCGCAGAUUCGACGUUCGCAAUCUCAACCGCACGGAGAUUCCCUCCCGUCAAGGUCGCCCUCCCACGUCCCUCGGUGAACCCCAAUGCGAGGGGGGUAAUAUCGAGAAGAUCGGGCCAUCGGCCGAUAUGGGCGCGAUCAGUAGCGCGAAGAAAUGCGGUACGAUUCGAUUUGCGAUCUGAUCUGGUGAAAUGGCAGAGAAAGAGAGAGAAUCUCUCUCGACGGAUACUUGGUUACGUAGAUUUGAAUUUUAGAUGCGAUCGUUCGCGUCUGUUAAUUGUAGAGAAGCACGAUUGGAUGGCGAAUUUAUAAAAUUAGUUGAAUUGACUGUCGAAUGAUGAAAUGGAUUCGAUAAAGUACCGAUAAUGAAUCGCGUACAGUCUCAGUAAAAAUUCGAACAUUGCUACAUACACAAUGUGAUGAAUGCGGUUUCACGAGUUUAAAAGAAGUAAAUCUACGAAGAUCGCGCGUACCUUUCAUAACAUCUCAAAAUUUUUUUUGUUCACUUUAAAUAAAUAUUUAAUGAUUAAUCUAAUAAUGUAUACUAAUGUAUACAUGCUAAUUUCAUACAAAAUUAUCUUGAUAUUAGAUUGAUAAUAUAUGACACGAGGAGAAAUAAUUUAAUUGUCAACUAUAAGAUAUAAUUUCACUUAUCUUUUAUACCAAGUAUAUAGUCGAGGUAGAGAAUAAAUUCGAAAGCGAGAAGCUGCCAUUACACGCAGUUUCUUCAGCAAUUUCUUAUGCUCUCUCGAGCUCUACGUCUCCUAUGUACGAGCUAUGGAGCGGACUGUUCAUGAUGUUAUGUUCUCUAAACCUUGUCGCGCGAAGUCAUCGGAUCGCAUAUCGGCGUAUCGUCAGUUCCGUUUGUUGGACGCGUUACUUAAUAAAUGGCCGUGUAAAUAUUAUAUCGAAUUAUACUUCGAUCAUCUCUUUCAUUCGUGCGAGAGUAAGUAGCUAAAAUUUAUGCCGAAUAAGGAGACAGAGUGAUAAGAUAUGUCGCGACAAUGAUGUUAAAUAAAAAAAAAAAAAAAAAAAAAAAAAAAAAAAAAAAAA